GUUUUAAUAGUUUAAUAAAAACACUGUUUUUGUAAUUCAGAAUUAAUUUAUAUUUUAAAACU
rnacentral:tRNA from 1 species